rnacentral:lncRNA from 10 species
GGUGCACGCCUCCCUGCAGGUAUUAGCGGAUGCAGAUACUGACUGGUGGCCUCGGUGGGAGGCGCUGCUGUUCUGCAAACUCCCAGUGAGGGUGACGUGGCUGGUCUUGGGGGGGUCACGGGCUGCUCGGUUAUCCUUAGUGAAAACAGUCACUCCAGGCACAAAGCUCUGUCACAUAUAAACUAUCAUCCCAUGAGGGAAGCAGAGAAUUCUCCAUAUUGCAAUUUGAGAAAAUGAAUAGGGAAGUAAGUAACUGUGGAAAUUCACAAACCAGGUCAUUUAUUCACUCAACAAAUAUCUCUUGAGCCCUGCUGAUAUGGUUUGGCUGUGUUCCCACUCAAAUCUCAUCUUGAAUUCCCACAUGUUGUGGGAGGGACCCAGUAGAAGGUAAUUGAGUCAUGGGGAUGGGUCUUUCCCAUGCUGUCCUCAUGACAGUGAAUAAGUCUCAUGAGAUCUGAUAGUUUUAAAAAGGGGAGUGAAUAAGUCUCAUGAGAUCUGAUCAUUUUGAAAAGGGGAGCACAAGCUCUUUCUGUUUGCCUGCUGCCAUCCAUGUGAGACAUGAUUUGCUCCUCCUUGCCUUUCACCGUGAUUGUGAGGCCUCCCCAGCCAUGUGGAAGAGUAAGUCCAUUAAACCUUUUUCCUGUACAGCCAGGCCCGGUGGCUCAUGCCUGUAAUCUCGGCAUCUUGGGAGGCUGACGCAGGUGGAUCACUUGAGGUCAGGAGUUCAGAGUGUGUGCAAUAACAUAUCAGAAGCAAGUCAAAGGAAAUCAGGUCUCUGACAAGCAAGCAUAAAAAUUAAAAAAAAAAAAAAAAGACAGAGAAAGGAAAACCAGGAGGCCAGACUAGCACCCCACGGUUCAGUGAGAUGCACUGGGAAGGGAAGGUCUUCGCUUUCCAUUGUUUUCAUCACAGAAGCGUAACGCUUGGUGCACACUUGGUAAAUAACUAGCAUAUGGUAUCACCAAGUCUGACAUGUGUGUGCAAAGCCAGGGAGCCUCAGAUGGGAAGCACCCCUGUGAUUCCGGGACAGGAUCGUCAAAGGAAAGGGAAGGAAGGGGCCUCGUGUUACCCUGGGGCAGGGGCAGGGGCAUCCUGAGACGCCCAGGGCAGGGAGGCCGGCAGGACCCAGGAGAGCCUGCAGGAGUGAGUGGGGAACCCCACACAUUUGCUGCUGCUCUCCCUGCCUCUGCUGUAAGUCAAGGUCGUCUGCAAACCAGCCACUCAGUGCCCAGGAGCCUGGCAGUCCCUUGCUAGUGCUCUCCUCCGGGGAGACAGCCUCAGGCUAGUACAGGACAGAUUCCCUGUGUCCUGUGGUUGGCCUGGGAUGGGAGGAUCCCAGAGUUACUGGGUGGCUUUCUCUGCCUUUAGCUACAACAGGAGGAACAUCAGAGCAUUGACCUUGGUGUUAAACUGGGGAGGAGAGAAUAAGAUGGAGCAGCCCGGGCAGUGGACAGACCCCAGCCCUUCCGGGAAGCUGGAGAUGAAGAUGCUGUGGGUAUCAUAGUGUCUGCCCCACCCAUGGCUGUCCCUGGCCGGCAGAGGGGCAGCAAUGAGCAGGCCAUGCUCCCAGGUGGCUUGGGGCAGCUAAGAUCUGUGGUCAUGCGUGUGGGUGCCUGUGAAGAAGGGGAAGAGGGGGAGGAGGUGGGUUGGGGAAGGGAAGGGCAGAGACACCAUACGCCUAGGCUGGUUGCUCGGAAAUCGAGUUCUCCUCCACCCUGGGAGGGACAUGGUGCCAGGACCAUCAACCCCACCAAGGAGAUGGCAGGACCAGUCCUUCUCUCCCUCCUUCCCUCCCUACCGCAGAGGAAGUGACAGUGCUGGUCAUGGCAGGCCAGUGGGCCCCCCGUAGAGCCCGAGUCAGACUCCGAUGGCCGCUGUCCACUAUGUGGGCACUCAGGACAUCAGAAAACAGGUGGCCAUCUGCAGAGUAUUUCAGAGCGUCUCCUCUGAGCUAGUCGAAUCUGUGAGAACUGCCUCUCAUGGACCAAAAUUCAUCAGGAGUUGCAUCUGGAUAAUGGUCUUCUAGGAAAAAAAAUAGGAGGAGUCACCAAAUAGAAGCCUCUGAAGCAAGGUGGUCUGGAACCAGAGCAGGGAGGAGAAAACAACGGCACCAAAAGCAUCCUCUUUUCACCAACACGUCAACUCCUGAUGAUGACCUUACCCACAUUCCCUGGCCAGGGGUCUUCAGCAUCCCCGUGAGCCAUCCUGGUGGCCAGAGCCUGCUCACAGGGCGAGGGGAGCGUGCAGGCAGCCUGCAGAAAGGCUGAGCCCUCCGCCUGGGUGCUGAACCCCACAUGGGAUAGCAACUGCCAAGACUAGGGCUACGUGCAAAGGAUUCCCAGAGCUUGACCCUGAGAAGCAGAGAUGAUGCACUAGGGGGGUGGCUCAAUAAAGAUGGCCUGGAACGCAGCCGCUGCCCCAAUCCAAGAAACAGUGGUGGCCCACACCCAACGGCUGGCCAGGGGACGGCUUCCACAGCUCAGGUUCAAGUGAAAGGGUAGGGUGCACGUGGACUUUUGUUGUGAUCCCCCACAUGGUCUUUCUAAAUGUGUUCAGUAACUCCUAUCCUGAUCUUGCUGCACAUCAUCUCCUCCUCUUCAUCUAACUUUAAAAAGGUAAAACUUCCAGGCAGGUGGAUUACUUGAGGUUAGGAAUUUGAGACCAGCCUGAUUGGUGAAACCACAAACUACUAAAAAUAUAAAAAAUUAGCUGAGCGUGGUGGCACGUGCCUGUAAUCCUAGCUACACGGGAGGCUGAGGCAAGAGAAUCAGUUGAAA